rnacentral:rRNA from 1 species
GAUUAAGUUAUUAAGGGCGCACGGUGGAUGCCUUGGCACUAGAAGCCGAUGAAGGACGUUACUAACGACGAUAUGCUUUGGGUAGCUGUAAGUAAGCGUUGAUCCAGAGAUUUCCGAAUGGGGGAACCCAGCAUGAGUUAUGUCAUGUUAUCGACAUGUGAAUUCAUAGCAUGUCAGAAGGCAGACCCGGAGAACUGAAACAUCUUAGUACCCGGAGGAAGAGAAAGAAAAAUCGAUUCCCUGAGUAGCGGCGAGCGAAACGGGAAGAGCCCAAACCAACAAGCUUGCUUGUUGGGGUUGUAGGACACUCUAUACGGAGUUACAAAAGAACAUGUUAGACGAAUCAUCUGGAAAGAUGAAUCAAAGAAGGUAAUAAUCCUGUAGUCGAAAACAUAUUCUCUCUUGAGUGGAUCCUGAGUACGACGGAGCACGUGAAAUUCCGUCGGAAUCUGGGAGGACCAUCUCCUAAGGCUAAAUACUCUCUAGUGACCGAUAGUGAACCAGUACCGUGAGGGAAAGGUGAAAAGUACCCCGGAAGGGGAGUGAAAGAGAACUUGAAACCGUGUGCUUACAAGUAGUCAGAGCCCGUUAAUGGGUGAUGGCGUGCCUUUUGUAGAAUGAACCGGCGAGUUACGAUCUGAUGCAAGGUUAAGCAGCAAAUGUGGAGCCGCAGCGAAAGCGAGUCUGAAUAGGGCGUUGAGUAUUUGGUCGUAGACCCGAAACCAGGUGAUCUACCCUUGGUCAGGUUGAAGUUCAGGUAACACUGAAUGGAGGACCGAACCGACUUACGUUGAAAAGUGAGCGGAUGAACUGAGGGUAGCGGAGAAAUUCCAAUCGAACUUGGAGAUAGCUGGUUCUCUCCGAAAUAGCUUUAGGGCUAGCCUCAAGUGAUGAUUAUUGGAGGUAGAGCACUGUUUGGACGAGGGGCCCCUCUCGGGUUACCGAAUUCAGACAAACUCCGAAUGCCAAUUAAUUUAACUUGGGAGUCAGAACAUGGGUGAUAAGGUCCGUGUUCGAAAGGGAAACAGCCCAGACCACCAGCUAAGGUCCCAAAAUAUAUGUUAAGUGGAAAAGGAUGUGGCGUUGCCCAGACAACUAGGAUGUUGGCUUAGAAGCAGCCAUCAUUUAAAGAGUGCGUAAUAGCUCACUAGUCGAGUGACACUGCGCCGAAAAUGUA